rnacentral:misc_RNA from 1 species
GAAAUGCGAUAAGUAGUGUGAAUUGCAGAAUUCAGUGAAUCAUCGAAUCUUUGAACGCACAUUGCGCCCUAUGGUAUUCCGUAGGGCAUACCUGUUCGAGCGUCAUUUACACCUUCAAGCCUUGCUUGGUGUUGGGUGACUGUGGCCCCUUUGGGGCCACUCGCCUUAAAGUCAUUGGCGGCCGGUUCGUUGGCUUUGUAGCGCAGCACAAUUGCGUCCUCGAAGCCGCUGGACCAGCUCCCAGAAGCUAAUUUUAAAUGUUUGACCUCGAAUCAGGUAGGGAUACCCGCUGAACUUAAGC